UAACCUCUCAAACAAGCACACCCCAAGAUCCCUGCCCCCACCCUUUUUGCUUCAGUUCAACCACCAGAAUCACCCACAUCUCCAUCAUCGGCGACCACCGUAGGCGGCAGUGGCGUGGUGGAGUUUGUCGGCGAAAGAGAGAGGGAGAGAGAAGUGAUGUCAGAUCUGAUGGCCGGAAGAAAACGACGGUGGUUGUUGGCCAUCUACUCAGCCGCCAACCACAAAAUCUGAAGUGUUUUUGGAGGUUUUUUUGGUGGUGGUGAUUGAAGAGAGGGGGGAUUUGUUGAAUUUGUUUGAAAUCUGAAUUGGUUUUGGAGGUUUUUUGGGGAUGAAAAUGGAGGGUUCUUGAUUAACAGAAAUGGGGUUUUAAUGGAGGAUUAUUUAUUGAUGAAGAUGAAUAAAAUUUGGUCCUAACUGGUAUUACCCCCUUUUCUUUUCUUCAAUUAACUUUCAAAAUCUUGUUUUCCCUUUAAAUUGCAACGAAUGCCGCUGGCUUUUGCAAAUAUAAUCAUCAAAGAAUGUAAAUUUGAAAUAUAUUAUUCUUGAUUGGUGUAUGUGACUGCUACCCAUGAUUUUGUGGUUUUCUUGAUUCAAGACUUCAACUUUCUGGGGUUUCCUGCGGAUGAUUAAAUAAAUAUUUCAUUUUUCUUUGAUGGGGUGUGAAUAA
rnacentral:lncRNA from 1 species